ensembl:lncRNA
GGAAAACUGCUUAUUGAAUAGGUGUGUUUUUGUAGCUGCUGGAUGAAACAGGAAACGUGUCUGAUUACACAUGGUGCAUUACUUCCCCUCUGAUUGGUGACAGCUGCAUUAACAUGAAAAGACUCUCAAUAAACUCCAUCUACACCAAGAGAACCUCAAAUGCAUUGAGUUAUAUACAAUAGUAGAUGGGAGUGACAAAUUGGUUGAUUGGCGGAGAUAGAAAAUUUCAAAAGUGGAAAGUAGCUAUCUUUAUUACUCAGGUAACUGCCUGCUGUAUUUGGAACUAGAGUGUUGUGGCCAAAAUUUCCAAGGAUGAGUAUUGAAAGAACUUUUGGGAAAGUGCUGACUGGGCUUCUCUUGGUCUCUCUUUCGAGAGCUGCAGAGAGCAAGAACCAAGUAUUUCAGCCUCCUCUUGUGGUAUCCUCUGAAGGAGCUCUGGUGGAAAUUCCCUGUAACCACUCUGUGUCCAAUGCUUAUUACUUCUACUGGUAUAAGCACUACCUGGGAUCUGCUCCAAGCCUCCUCAUUUCUGGUUCAAAGGCAACUCAGAAGGAAAGAUACAACAUGACAUACACACGACUCUCCUCGUCUUUGGUCAUUCACCAGAUGCAGAGGGAAGAUGCUGCUGUGUAUUACUGUGCUGUGGUAGACACAGUGACAGAGACUAUAGGGGAUGCUGAACCUAAACCCUUGAAUUGUAACCAGCCUUUGUAAGCAGAAAAGAGAUGCUUUCAUGUUGUAUUUAACUGUCAACUCUUUAGCUUCAGAAAAGCAUUUGAUCACAUACAGAAUUCUAACACAUGAUUUCACUUAAGAAGGAGAAAAAUCAGAGCAAAAAACAGCAUGUUGGAGCUUGGAGGGUGAUUGGAGAUCAUCUAGUCCAGUCCUCUCAUUUUACAGAUGAAGAAAUUGAAAUAGAGAAAGUUUAGAUAACUAAUUCCAUAGCUGUUCAAUGGCAGUCUUAUAUACAGAUCCAUAAUAAGUAGGAAUGUUCAUGUUUGAAGAAAAUUAAGGGUUAUUUUCCUUUGUAUUUAACAGAGGGGGGAAAGGAGAAGGAUGGCAUUGGAAAUGUAAUGGACAAUUCAACAAUGGGUGAAAUUGUGCCGGGAGGACUUGCUCUUUCCCCAGAAAUGCUGUCUUAAAUUUCCUUAUGAAUUGAGGAAGAAGGCAAGCUGGGGGAAAGGUGGAAACCAGGAGAGGAGAAUUGUGGCAUAGGACCCUGCGGGAGGUGGCACAGGAGGUAAUAUGGUCGUGUUGUCCAGGUAGUAGAGGAAGAUAAAAUAUGGGGAUGGUAUUCUUUGGACCACUGUGGGAAGGAAAUACACAUACUUCUCUACCCCACACCUCCAAAAGGAUGCAUGUUUCCUGUAGAUGUUGGAGCUCUGGAACAAGCACCUUAUUACUCCACCCUAGUUAUAGCCCUGAUUAUUUAUAAUUACUUACAAUUUACUUAUUAAAAAAAGAAAUGGAAAUAGUACCAAAUUCAUAUAUACAUAUAUAUAUAUAUAUAUAUAUAUAUAUAUCCUGAGGAGGUAAAUGUGGGAAGUAUAUGUCAACCAUUUGCAAGAUUCUGAAAUGUCAAAAGUGGCUACUAUAUUAUUUAAUGGAAGAAGGAAAAGCGGAAGUUGUAAUAAUAAUAGAUUUUUUUUUAAAUCAUGGAAAUGCUCUGGUUGUUAAGACCAUUGUCUGGGAUAAUGUGUGCUAACACUAACAA